rnacentral:rRNA from 1 species
UGAGAUAUCCAUACUCGAAAGAGUGAGAGACCCCUUAGAGACGAUGAGGUAGAUAGGGCAGAGAUGGAAGCACAGCGAUGUGUGGAGUUGACUGUUACUAAUCGGUCGAUAGCUUGACCUU